rnacentral:rRNA from 1 species
UGCGGAGGGUACCAGUGUUAUUCGUCGUUACUGGGCGUAAAGGGUAUCUAGGCGGUUUCAUUUUAGUUUAAAAAUCUAUAGCUUUAGUGUUAAAUAUCCAACACCAGUUGUUUUAACCUAUUGGUACAAGAAACUAGGGGGUAGGGGAAGUUUUUUAGAUGUUAUAAGGUAGAGGUAGAAUUCGAUAACCUUAUAGUGACUACCGUAUGGCGAAAGCUAGAAACUAUCCUAAACUGACGCUGAGAAUACGAAAGCAUGGGGAACAAACAGG